rnacentral:sRNA from 1 species
CCUCAUAAACCUGCUGCGGACAAAUAAAAUGAAUAUGCGUAUCAAACCCACCAGCCGUGACAAUCUUCCCCUCGCCCGCAAUAACAUCCGUACAAGACCCCACAAUCAUAUUCGGGCUCACACCUUCCAUAACAUCCGGAUUGCCCGCCUUCCCAAUCCCCACAAUCUUUCCAUCUUUGACACCAAUAUCCGCUUUAUAGAUACCAGUCCAAUCCACAAUUAAGGCAUUGACGAUCACCAUAUCGAGAGAUAUCCCGUCGGAAACACCGGUUGCUUGACCCAUACCCUCUCGUAG